rnacentral:rRNA from 1 species
AUACGGAGGAUGCAAGCGUUAUCCGGAUUUAUUGGGUUUAAAGGGUGCGUAGGCGGGACUGUAAGUCAGGGGUGAAAUACUGCAGCUUAACUGUGGCAUUGCCUUUGAAACUGCCGUUCUUGAGUACAGGUGAGGUAGGCGGAAUGUGGUGUGUAGCGGUGAAAUGCAUAGAUAUACCACAGAACGCCGAUUGCGAAGGCAGCUUACUAAGCUGUUACUGACGCUGAGGCACGAAAGCGUGGGGAUCAAACAGGAUUAGAUACCCUGGUAGUCCACGCUGUAAACGAUGAUUACUGGUUGUUAGCGAUAUAUAGCUAGUGACUGAGCGAAAGCAUUAAGUAAUCCACCUGGGGAGUACGUCGGCAACGAUGAAACUCAAAUGAAUUGACGGG